rnacentral:rRNA from 1 species
GAUGAACGCUGGCGGCGUGCCUAAUACAUGCAAGUCGAGCGAACGGACGAGAAGCUUGCUUCUCUGAUGUUAGCGGCGGACGGGUGAGUAACACGUGGAUAACCUACCUAUAAGACUGGGAUAACUUCGGGAAACCGGAGCUAAUACCGGAUAAUAUUUUGAACCGCAUGGUUCAAAAGUGAAUGACGGUCUUGCUGUCACUUAUAGAUGGAUCCGCGCUGCAUUAGCUAGUUGGUAAGGUAACGGCUUACCAAGGCAACGAUGCAUAGCCGACCUGAGAGGGUGAUCGGCCACACUGGAACUGAGACACGGUCCAGACUCCUACGGGAGGCAGCAGUAGGGAAUCUUCCGCAAUGGGCGAAAGCCUGACGGAGCAACGCCGCGUGAGUGAUGAAGGUCUUCGGAUCGUAAAACUCUGUUAUUAGGGAAGAACAUAUGUGUAAGUAACUGUGCACAUCUUGACGGUACCUAAUCAGAAAGCCACGGCUAACUACGUGCCAGCAGCCGCGGUAAUACGUAGGUGGCAAGCGUUAUCCGGAAUUAUUGGGCGUAAAGCGCGCGUAGGCGGUUUUUUAAGUCUGAUGUGAAAGCCCACGGCUCAACCGUGGAGGGUCAUUGGAAACUGGAAAACUUGAGUGCAGAAGAGGAAAGUGGAAUUCCAUGUGUAGCGGUGAAAUGCGCAGAGAUAUGGAGGAACACCAGUGGCGAAGGCGACUUUCUGGUCUGUAACUGACGCUGAUGUGCGAAAGCGUGGGGAUCAAACAGGAUUAGAUACCCUGGUAGUCCACGCCGUAAACGAUGAGUGCUAAGUGUUAGGGGGUUUCCGCCCCUUAGUGCUGCAGCUAACGCAUUAAGCACUCCGCCUGGGGAGUACGACCGCAAGGUUGAAACUCAAAGGAAUUGACGGGGACCCGCACAAGCGGUGGAGCAUGUGGUUUAAUUCGAAGCAACGCGAAGAACCUUACCAAAUCUUGACAUCCUUUGACAACUCUAGAGAUAGAGCCUUCCCCUUCGGGGGACAAAGUGACAGGUGGUGCAUGGUUGUCGUCGGCUCGUGUCGUGAGAUGUUGGGUUAAGUCCCGCAACGAGCGCAACCCUUAAGCUUAGUUGCCAUCAUUAAGUUGGGCACUCUAAGUUGACUGCCGGUGACAAACCGGAGGAAGGUGGGGAUGACGUCAAAUCAUCAUGCCCCUUAUGAUUUGGGCUACACACGUGCUACAAUGGACAAUACAAAGGGCAGCGAAACCGCGAGGUCAAGCAAAUCCCAUAAAGUUGUUCUCAGUUCGGAUUGUAGUCUGCAACUCGACUACAUGAAGCUGGAAUCGCUAGUAAUCGUAGAUCAGCAUGCUACGGUGAAUACGUUCCCGGGUCU